UGUGCGUGCCUGCGUGUGUGCAUGUGUGCGCGUAUGUGUGCAUGCGUGCGUGUGUGUGUGUGUGUGUUUGUGUGUAGAUCAUGCCAUAUUGAAAGUCAUGCCAGUUUAAGGACAAGUUCCUGGUGUCCAACAACAUUUUUCUAUGCGUGGGUGAUUGGCAGGGGCUCCGGUGUGGUUUGCUUCUUCUUUCGUAUCAAACUUCUAUCGUCCUCAUCUUCCCCUCCUUUUUUGUGUAUGUUACUUUCUUGUAACUCCUCUAAUCUGGCACUUAUAUAACCUUAUUGUGUUGCAAGUGCCGUAAAACACUUACGAAAACUAAAACAUUUCUAUGAACUGACUCCUGCAAGGCUUGCUGUCUACUACAGUCUAGCAUGCACGUAAUGAAAAACACUCCAAGCUACCAUGCACAUAGCAAACAUGCACAUCGCGAAAAAUGCACAUAGCUAAAACCACACAUAGGGAACAUGCACUUAGCGAAAAACGCACCAAGCGAACAUGCUCAUAGCGAAAAACGCACCAAGCGAUCAUGCUCAUAGCGAAAAACGCACCAAGCGAACAUGCUCAUAGCGAAAAACGCACCAAGCGAACAUGCUCAUAGCGAAAAACGCACCAAGCGAUCAUGCUCAUAGCGAAAAACGCACCAAGCGAAUAUGCUCAUAGCGAAAAACGCACCAAGCGAUCAUGCUCAUAGCGAAAAACGCACCAAGCGAACAUGCUCAUAGCGAAAAACGCAUCGAGCGAUCAUGCACACAGCAAAAAAAAAACAUAGCAAAAACUGCACUGAGCGAAAAACCCACAUAGCAAGCAAAUGUUUAGGUUCCGAAUAUUUCCAUAUCUAUCUAUAUUAUCUUCUUCAUACAUGUGGCCUAAAAUUCGUACGUAGCAAAAUUUGUACAUAUGAAAAUAUUUCUGUGGACCACCAAUUGCACUAUGUGUGUGCUAGACUUUACGUAUAACUUUAUGGAGAAGGGGUGGAAAGUGUGCCAAUAAGGGUAACCCAAUCGUUUCACCAUGUUAUUGUGAAUGGGAAUGUUCCGACUGGUGUCUGUGGUGUAGUGGUGAGGGUGUUUGCUGGUGCUCGCAGAAGACUGCAGAUCAGUUCUGUUCUGUUCAGACUAGUGUCAAUGGUGCAGUAAUUAGGAUUUUUACUGAUGUAUUCAGAAGACUUGAGUUCAAUUCUCGUGUGAGGAAGUAAUUUUCUCGAGCACCUGCGUCUGUGUCGCUCGGUGCUCCUCGUCUCCCACUGGCCCCAGGUGGGCGGCCCUGGCCUGCAGGAUUGAAGCGGCCCGCCUUCUAAAUGAUGUAAAUUGUGUUGAGUGGGGUCGCGAUAUGUUUACAAUGAAUCGAUCAGAUCUACUCCUCCUGUGAUCUUGACGGUGAUUGAUAUUUUUGAAAGCUUUGACUUUGAAAGUUUUGUCAGUGGUCUCGAUGGGAGAUGCAGCGAAGAGGAGGUCUCUUAUGUCGUGAUCUUUGAAAUUUACAUUUAAUUUAUAAUAAUGUCCACUUUUUUUUUAGCGAUGUAGAUGAAAUGACCAUGAUCAUGAUUUCACCGUUGAUGCCCUUCUCAUAUUGCAGUUUGUAACAAUGUGUUGGGGGGGGGGGGGCAAUGUAUUUAUAUUUUUUCUUCUGCUGUUUUGAACGUGUCUAUUCUCAGCCGCCAAAUUGAAUCCUAUUGAUCAGAUCAUCAGGUGCCUUAGUAACCUACAGCCAUUUCAUCUACUUCGAGCAUGCUUGCAACCUGGUGCCUCUUUGUUGUAUCCCCCCCAAAAAGAGAGAAGAAUGUAUUUAAGAUAUUCUAUUUAUAUAUAUACACUCGGAAUCAAACAUAGCCGCACCGUCUUUUACACUAGCACAUUCCCUGGUCUGCCGUAAGCUGAUUAAACGCCUUUUUUCUUCUUCUGAGCAGUUCGAAAAAAAAGAGAUGAGUUGGUUUUUUUCCAGCGUAAUCAGUUAAAAAUAAAGUCAUUCCGAAAUUUGAAUUCUAAUUUAUUCAAGAACUAGUGACAGUUUCAGUUUGAUUUUUUUUUCCACACAAGUAAGGUAACUGAUCAGGUUUUUAGCAAAUAAAAAAUUUUGGCGGCAAAAUUUUUUUUUAAAAGGCUGUUUUUUGUGAGCUUACGGCAGCGCUAUCCUCCUGUGUGUGGGUUCUUGUUUUGUUUUUGGUACACUUGUUACUUGAAGGGCAAAUACCUGCUGUACAUUUUUACAUACAUUUCUUUCAUUGUACAUUCCCAACGUUAACGAUGCUGUGAAUUUAUGCAAUAUUAAUUUACUUCAUCGACGUAUAUAUACUUAAUCAUCGCGUUUUUAAGAAUUUAAAAAAAAAAAAAAAAAAA